CAAGGCUGGUGAGGGCGCGUAGCAGCGCGCUGAGGGCGCGCAGCGACUUCGGUUUGCGGUGGGCCAUGUCGGCUCAGCCUCCGGCUGCUUGGG
rnacentral:tRNA from 1 species